rnacentral:rRNA from 1 species
CCUACGGGGGACAGCAGUGAGGAAUAUUGGUCAAUGGACGAGAGUCUGAACCAGCCAAGUAGCGUGAAGGAUGACUGCCCUAUGGGUUGUAAACUUCUUUUAUAAAGGAAUAAAACGAGGCACGUGUGCCUUUUUGUAUGUACUUUAUGAAUAAGGAUCGGCUAACUCCGUGCCAGCAGCCGCGGUAAUACGGAGGAUCCGAGCGUUAUCCGGAUUUAUUGGGUUUAAAGGGAGCGUAGAUGGGUUGUUAAGUCAGUUGUGAAAGUUUGCGGCUCAACCGUAAAAUUGCAAUUGAUACUGGCAGUCUUGAGUACAGUUGAGGUAGGCGGAAUUCGUGGUGUAGCGGUGAAAUGCUUAGAUAUCACGAAGAACCCCGAUUGCGAAGGCAGCUUACUAAACUGUGACUGACAUUGAUGCUCGAAAGUGUGGGUAUCAAACAGGAUUAGAUACCCCAGUAGUC